AACGAACGCUGGCGGCGCGUCUUAAACAUGCAAGUCGAACGAUCUGUAGCAAUGCAGGGAGUGGCGGACGGGUGAGGAACACGUAGGAAUCUACCUAGAAGAGCGGGACAACCUUGGGAAACCGGGGCUAAUACCGCAUAGUACAGUGAUGUUAAAGGGCUAGCAAUAGUCGCUUCUAGAUGAGCCUGCGGUCUAUCAGCUUGUUGGCGGGUAACGGCCCACCAAGGCUACGACGGAUAGCCGGUCUGAGAGGAUGAUCGGCCACACUGGCACUGAGACACGGGCCAGACUCCUACGGGAGGCAGCAGUUAAGAAUCUUGCGCAAUGGACGAAAGUCUGACGCAGCGACGCCGCGUGAAGGAUGAAGGCUUUCGGGUUGUAAACUUCGGUAGACUGGGAAGAAAAGUAAGUUCGUUGAGGGCUUACAUUGACGGUACCAGUCUGAAGCCCCGGCUAAUUACGUGCCAGCAGCCGCGGUAAU
rnacentral:rRNA from 1 species